UGACCUGAAUACGCACCAGCAUUAAAGGGACAUUUCCGUUUAUGAGGACAGGGGCCAUGUCCUUAUAAAUCCGACCUUGUAGCAGUCAUUAUCUCAGUCUAGGGAUCAAUUCUGUACCGUUUUUGGCCCCAUGUCCGUAUAGACCACAUAAACCUGAAAAAAUACCACACACUGUGUGUUCUCUAACCCCUCCAUGCGCCCCUGUAGACCGGUCGCGGAACUGCACCUACGUCAUUAAGAAUUUGCAUAUAUACACAAGUGUAAGUUUUCCCGGUCUCUGAUUGGCUGGCUACAAGAAUCCUCGUCGGUGAUUGGCCAGCAGUAACAGGAGAAGCGCUUCCGCUAAGGGGCGGGACCUUAGAGGGACCGUGCACAUAUAAGGCCUCGCUAAGAGGCGGGACUUCCUUUAAGACACAGCUGCAGGUGAUUUAAUACAGCGGGGUUUUAAUCCUCGGAGUUUGUAAAGUAAUAUAACACACGACGAAUUAAUAUCGAGUUUGGACUCUCUGCACCCUGGAGAAGAGGACAUCGGUGUCGGAAGCCGCUGGCAUAUGAAAGUCUGAUUAAAACAUGAUGAUGAGGAGGAGGAGGAAGCCCAGUCCACUGGAGGAGGCCACACACUUCAGCCUUAAGAAGGAAGAUCAAGAUGGUCUGGAAGCUCAGUUUAUAAAUGAGUUUAAAGGGAGAGGUGUGUUUAGUUGUACUGACUUUGAUAAGGGAGAUUUCCUAUUGGAGUACAGAGGGGAUCUCAUAAGCAGAGAAGAAUGUGAGCGGAGGCAAAGAAUAUAUCAUGAUGCCCUCAAAGUGUUCAUGUAUGAAUUUCGAUUCAAUGGCAAAUUCCUUUGUGUUGAUGCAGCCCUGGAUGAUGGCUCCCUUGGGAGACUGGUGAAUGAUGAUCAUCUAAAACCAAACUGCAGAAUGAAGACCAUCCGUGUGGAUGGUAAACCUCAUCUUUGUUUAUUUGCCAUAAGAAGCAUCUGUCCUGGUGAAGAGAUCACAUACAAUUACGGCGAUUCUGAGUGGCCAUGGCGAUGCAAGAUGACAUCGUCUAAGAAUUCACCACCUCCAGAACAAAAAGAUACAGCAGAUAAAAAGGCAUCCAAAAAGUGCCCGAUAAGCGAGUUGCCAUCAGACAGUGCUGCCUGUGAAGAACUGACCGUAGAAACAGACGAGGUUACCCUUGGUAUGGCCCAAUUGUCCUCAGAGAAGCAGAAUUAUAUUGAGAAGAACGUUGGGGAGAAGGUUUAUCCUGUCAAAGAGUCGUUGGUUAAAGAGGAGCUGAGCUUUUGCUUAUCAACACAAGGACUUGAACAGAUGACAUCAUUUAAGAAUUCACCGACACCAGAACAACAGGAUACAUCAGAUAAAAAGGCAUCCAAGAAGUUGAUGUGAGAUUGUGUGACAGUGUGAAGCCAGUGGACCUGAUGCUGAAGAUAACGUUCCUGCUGGUGCCUCUAAUCAUGUAUUCAGAAGAUGCCCACUGAAACACCUCCUGAAGUUUCU